ACGGAGGGGGCAAGCGUUACUCGGAAUUAUUGGGCGUAAAGGGCGCGUAGGCGGUUCCGUGCGUCGGAGGUGAAAUCCCCGGGCUUAACCCGGGAGCUGCCUCCGAUACGGCGGGACUUGAGUCCGGGAGAGGGGAGCAGAAUUCCCAGUGUAGCGGUGAAAUGCGUAGAUAUUGGGAGGAAUACCAGUGGCGAAGGCGGCUCCCUGGACCGGUACUGACGCUGAGGCGCGAAAGCGUGGGUAGCAAACAG
rnacentral:rRNA from 1 species